GUACUGGUCAAAAUGCUCCGUUUAAAUAAUUCUUCAAUGCUCCAAACAUGUUAUGGAUCAAACCAUCCAAUAUGCUGCUAGACCUCUAAGCCAAGAGCAAACCAGCUAAUUGGCAUCCACUAGAAGGGAAAGUGGGCAGAACUCAUAGAGGUCCAAGGUGUUUCAGUCUUCAAUAUCCUUGGGUUAGCUAAUGCAUACAAACCGACAGACUCCUUAGUGCACUGCGCCCUCCCACCACACCAUACACGUCCAACUAGCCAUCUCUCUUUCAUCCAUCAAAGGUUAUCAAUUUGCUAUCACUAGAUUCUUCAAACCUACAAACAACACAACCCAAAACUUAUUUUUACACCCACAACUUGGCUGAGAGAUAGUUGCCUCCACCAGGCUAGGGAAAACAAAACCAGCCUUUUACCCUACUCCAAAGGGCGGGGGAAGC
rnacentral:misc_RNA from 1 species